GGGUCCGGACACACUGAGGAUUGACAGGCAAUAUUAAUACGUUUUGCUUCGGUAAACGCGUAUUAUGUUAAAUAUGCUAGUCCUUUCAUGAUUAUGUGAUAGGUGGUGCAUGGCCGUUCUUAGUUCGUGGAGUGAUCUGUCUGCUUAAUUGCGUUUCACUAAGGGCCUAUAAAUUUACGUGUGUUGCAUCGCACUUUGACCCCUUUCUUUAAUUAGAGAGCGCGUGUCUUAGUUUUCGCUUUGCUCAUACAAUUAGGUCCUGAAAGCAACGAACGUGACCGCAACCUCUUGUUGCCUUUAUACCAAACAUGUUUUGCGUCAAUUUUUACGAAUUGCGCGCAUUUCAUGAAAAAAGGCUUUUUAAAUUAGAGGGACCGCUGUUACUUUCUUAAACCAGAGGAAGGUUGCGGCAAUAACAGGUCUGUGAUGCCCUUAGAUGUUCCGGGCUGCACACGUGCUACAAUGAUUAUUGCAGUGAGCAUCUCAUUUUUACACACCGCAUGCGCGAGUCCAUUUAUUCACCUUCGGGUGUUUUAAAUGUGUAUCUCUGCGCGCGGUAAAGCCUGCUUCGACAGUAAGUGGGU
rnacentral:rRNA from 1 species